rnacentral:rRNA from 1 species
GAUGAACGCUAGCUACAGGCUUAACACAUGCAAGUCGAGGGGCAUCAGUUUGGUUUGCUUGCAAACCAAAGCUGGCGACCGGCGCACGGGUGAGUAACACGUAUCCAACCUGCCUCAUACUCGGGGAUAGCCUUUCGAAAGAAAGAUUAAUAUCCGAUAGCAUAUAUUUCCCGCAUGGGUUUUAUAUUAAAGAAAUUCGGUAUGAGAUGGGGAUGCGUUCCAUUAGUUUGUUGGGGGGGUAACGGCCCACCAAGACUACGAUGGAUAGGGGUUCUGAGAGGAAGGUCCCCCACAUUGGAACUGAGACACGGUCCAAACUCCUACGGGAGGCAGCAGUGAGGAAUAUUGGUCAAUGGACGCGAGUCUGAACCAGCCAAGUAGCGUGAAGGAUGACUGCCCUAUGGGUUGUAAACUUCUUUUAUAUGGGAAUAAAGUGGUCCACGUGUGGACUUUUGUAUGUACCAUAUGAAUAAGGAUCGGCUAACUCCGUGCCAGCAGCCGCGGUAAUACGGAGGAUCCGAGCGUUAUCCGGAUUUAUUGGGUUUAAAGGGAGCGUAGGCGGAUUGUUAAGUCAGUUGUGAAAGUUUGCGGCUCAACCGUAAAAUUGCAGUUGAUACUGGCAGUCUUGAGUGCAGUAGAGGUGGGCGGAAUUCGUGGUGUAGCGGUGAAAUGCUUAGAUAUCACGAAGAACUCCGAUUGCGAAGGCAGCUCACUGGAGUGUAACUGACGCUGAUGCUCGAAAGUGUGGGUAUCAAACAGGAUUAGAUACCCUGGUAGUCCACACAGUAAACGAUGAAUACUCGCUGUUUGCGAUAUACAGUAAGCGGCCAAGCGAAAGCAUUAAGUAUUCCACCUGGG